GCAAGUCGAACGGGAACGAUUCCUUCGGGAAUCUAGUACAGUGGCGGACGGGUGAGUAACGCGUGAUCAAUCUACCCUUAGGAGGGGGAUAGCCAUUCGAAAGGAUGGGUAAUACCUCAUAAGACCACAGUACCACAUGGUACAGUGGUAAAAAAGUUGGGAUCUUCGGACCUUCUGCCUAAGGAUGAGAUCGCGUCCUAUUAGCUUGUUGGUGGGGUAACGGCCUACCAAGGCUUUGAUGGGUAGCCGGCCUGAGAGGGUGGAC
rnacentral:rRNA from 1 species